rnacentral:rRNA from 1 species
UACGGAGGGAGCUAGCGUUGUUCGGAAUUACUGGGCGUAAAGCGCACGUAGGCGGCUUUGUAAGUUAGAGGUGAAAGCCCGGGGCCCAACCCCGGAAUUGCCUUUAAGACUGCAUCGCUUGAAUCCAGGAGAGGUGAGUGGAAUUCCGAGUGUAGAGGUGAAAUUCGUAGAUAUUCGGAAGAACACCAGUGGCGAAGGCGGCUCACUGGACUGGUAUUGACGCUGAGGUGCGAAAGCGUGGGGAGCAACAGGG